GGCAACAGUUGCUGAAGAGAGCCGUCUGUUGACAGUUCACUAUGGACGCUGUCAUGGAGUCGCUCUCUUCAGAGACUCCCGU
rnacentral:pre_miRNA from 1 species